AAAGCUAACGUGAGGCCCGGCGCGGUGGCUCACGCCUGUAAUCCCAGCACUUUGGGAGACCGAGGCGGGCGGAUCACCUGAGGUCAGGAGUUCGAAAUCAGCCUGGCCAACAUGGUGAAACUCCGCCUCUACUAAAAAUACAAAAAAAAAAAAAACAUAGCUGGGCGUGGUGGCGGGCGCCUGUAAUCCCAUCUACUCGGGAAGCUGAGGCUUGAGAAUCGCUUGAAUCCAAGAGGCAGAGGUUGCAGUGAGCCGAGAUCCGGACACCGCACUCCAGCCUGGGAGACAGAGCGAGACUCCCUCUCGGGCAUCACCAUGGCCGUCAUUUCAUUCACAUCAGACACAGCGGCCUCUAUUUGGUGGUCACAACUUCAGAAAACGUUUCUCCCUUCAGCCUCCUAGAACUGCUCUCCAGGUUGGCCACCCUUCUGGGCGAUUACUGUGGCUCCCUGGGCGAGGGGACCAUCUCCCGCAAUGUGGCUCUGGUAUACGAACUCCUGGAUGAAGUGCUGAGACUAGAGUCUCACUGUGUUGCCCAGGCUGGUCUUGAACUCAUGGCCUCAAGCCAUUCUCCUACGUCU
rnacentral:lncRNA from 10 species